rnacentral:rRNA from 1 species
ACGUACGACCAUAGAUACUGGAGAACUCGGGAUCCCGUCCGCUCUCCCAUAGAUAAGCCAGUAAUCGUCAGACCCCUGAUGUUGUACGUU